rnacentral:rRNA from 1 species
UACGUAGGUGGCGAGCGUUGUCCGGAUUUACUGGGCGUAAAGGGAGCGUAGGCGGACUUUUAAGUGAGAUGUGAAAUACUCGGGCUCAACUUGAGUGCUGCAUUUCAAACUGGAAGUCUAGAGUGCAGGAGAGGAGAAUGGAAUUCCUAGUGUAGCGGUGAAAUGCGUAGAGAUUAGGAAGAACACCAGUGGCGAAGGCGAUUCUCUGGACUAUAACUGACGCUGAGGCUCGGAAGCGUGGGGAGCAAACAGG